UACGUAGGGGGCGAGCGUUGUCCGGAGUUACUGGACGUAAAGCGCUUGUAGGCGGUCCACCAAGUUUGGGGUGACAGUUGCCGACUUAAUCGGCAAAGUGCCUCAAAGACUGGCGGACUUGAGGGCCACAGAGGGACAUGGAACUCCAGGUGUAGUGGUGAAAUGCGUAGAUAUCGGGAGGAACACCAGUGGCGAAGGCGGCCUUCUGGACCAGUACUGACGCUCAUGCACGAAAGCGCGGGGAGCAAACAGG
rnacentral:rRNA from 1 species